GGCGGCAUAGCCAAGUGGUAAGGCAGGGGUCUGCAAAACCCCCAUUCGUCGGUCCGAUUCCGACUGCCGCCUCCA
rnacentral:tRNA from 1 species